ACGGGAGGCAGCAGUGGGGAAUCUUGCACAGUGGGGGAAACCCUGAUGCAGCGACGCCGCGUGAGUGAAGAAGUAUUUCGGUAUGUAAAGCUCUAUCAGCAGGGAAGAAAAUGACGGUACCUGACUAGGAAGCCCCGGCUAACUACGUGCCAGCAGCCGCGGUAAUACGUAGGGGGCAAGCGUUAUCCGGAUUUACUGGGUGUAAAGGGAGCGUAGACGGCGAUGCAAGUCUGAUGUGAAAGCCCGGGGCUCAACCCCGGCACUGAAUUGGAAACUGUGUUGCUAGAGUGCAGGAGAGGUAAGUGGAAUUCCUAGUGUAGCGGUGAAAUGCGUAGAUAUUAGGAGGAACACCAGAGGCGAAGGCGGCUUACUGGACUGUAACUGACGUUGAGGCUCGAAAGCGUGGGGAGCAAACAGGAUUAGAUACCCUGGUA
rnacentral:rRNA from 1 species